GCAGAUGAGUCCCAGGAGGCAAGCUUUGGAGGGAAGGAGGAGUUCAUUAGGCAGGGAGGGACAGCAGAGGCCUUGUUUGAAAGCUGUUUCCACCUAUUUGGGAGAAAUUACCAUGCUGAAUUCAGACUGACUGAAAAAAAACCCAUGCAUGGUGGCAGGCACAGGUACCUACUGCCAGACUUGGAAAGAAGGGCAACUGAGGACCAGGGCUGAGGAACUGGAGAAACACUGCAGCAUUGGAGGCUUUCUGAGGCAUGUAUAUGUCCACUUCACAAUGUCUUGAAACAUUAAAGAGGCACAUCACUGACGGUGGCAAUGGUAAUGUCACACCUGAGUAAGUAACAUAAAAGAAGUGACUGUGGACGAAUUGUUCCUAGAUGAGGGAAAACUGGAUCCAAGUGUGGAUGAUGGAACUCACUUAAACUUGGCAGGAUGACUGCCGAACACAAGGAGCUCAACCCAGGAGAGAAAGACCAGAGAAUAGAAGAGGAGAAAAAAUCUGCCUACUGGGAACUGGACUAAGAAUGCCACGCUGCCCUCAGAUGUUAAUAGCAGUCUGAUGAUGGCCUGGACUGAAUUCAAACUGGUGACCUAAAGCAGAAAGACUCUGUAUCUAACUAGCAACUCGCUGAUCCAGGGUAUUUCAGUACUUUUAAUCACACACACAAAAAAUUAGUCUCAAGGGAGGCUUUAUUGGAGGGUAGCAUGCUACAUAGUAAAAAAAAAAAUAACUAAAGCUUACAAAAGCCAUGCACUUUCUUCCUACCAAAUGAUAACACUCCUAUAUUAACUUUAUUAAGGCUGAAAUCUAGGGAGAAAAAAAAUAAAACAUUUCUUAUACUUGAA